GUGAACGAGCGACGCCGCGUGGAGGAAGAAGGCCUUCGGGUUGUAAACUCCUGUCACAGGUUAAGAAGAAUGUUCUGCUUAACAAGCGGGACUUUCGGACAAAGGCCUGAGAGGAAGCCACGGCUAACUCUGUGCCAGCAGCCGCGGUAAGACAGAGGUGGCAAGCGUUGUUCGGAACCACUGGGCGUAAAGGGCGCGUAGGCGGCGAUGUAAGUCGGGUGUGAAAUCCCUCGGCUCAACCGAGGCAUAGCUUCCGAUACUGCAUCGCUAGAGUGCGGGAGGGGAGAGUGGAACUUCUGGUGGAGCGGUGAAAUGCGUAGAUAUCAGAAGGAACGCCGGAGGCGAAGGCGACUCUCUGGACCGCUACUGACGCUGAGGCGCGAAAGCUAGGGGAGCAAAUGGGAUUAGAUACCCCAGUAGUCCUAGCCGUAAACGAU
rnacentral:rRNA from 1 species